rnacentral:rRNA from 1 species
AGCGAACGCUGGCGGCAGGCCUAACACAUGCAAGUCGAACGAACCUUUCGGGGUUAGUGGCGGACGGGUGAGUAACACGUGGGAACGUGCCUUUAGGUUCGGAAUAACUCAGGGAAACUUGUGCUAAUACCGAAUGUGCCCUUCGGGGGAAAGAUUAAUCGCCUUUAGAGCGGCCCGCGUCUGAUUAGCUAGUUGGUUGAGGUAAUGGCCCACCAAGGCGACGAUCAGUAGCUGGUCUGAGAGGAUGAUCAGCCACAUUGGGACUGAAACACGGCCCAAACUCCUACGGGAGGCAGCAGUGGGGAAUCUUGCGCAAUGGGCGAAAGCCUGACGCAGCCAUGCCGCGUGAAUGAUGAAGGUCUUAGGAUUGUAAAAUUCUUUCACCGGGGACGAUAAUGACGGUACCCGGAGAAGAAGCCCCGGCUAACUUCGUG